CGGCGCGUCUUCUCUCAGGCGGCCCAGGGCUCGCACCGCCGACUCUCCGCUCGCUCGCCGCCAGCCGCGACGCCCCCGCCGAGCCCCGCCUCAGCCAGCCGGCGGCGGGCAAGGAAGGAGCCGCUCAUUUUUGGGGCGAUAAUUGUUUAUAGAAGUGAAGAGUUUCUGAAGAAGGUAACAAACAAGAAAAGGAAAAUGCCGAAACCAAUAAAUGUAAGAGUAACUACAAUGGAUGCUGAACUAGAGUUUGCCAUUCAGCCCAAUACAACUGGCAAACAACUUUUUGACCAGGUUGUAAAAACAGUUGGUUUACGUGAGGUCUGGUUUUUUGGGCUGCAAUAUGUAGACAGCAAAGGAUAUUCCACAUGGCUUAAACUGAAUAAAAAGGUAACACAGCAAGAUGUUAAAAAAGAAAAUCCUUUACAGUUCAAGUUUAGAGCUAAAUUCUUUCCUGAAGAUGUUUCUGAGGAAUUGAUUCAAGAAAUAACACAGAGACUUUUCUUCUUGCAAGUUAAAGAAGCCAUCUUAAAUGAUGAGAUAUAUUGCCCACCAGAAACUGCAGUUCUUUUGGCUUCGUAUGCUGUUCAAGCCAAGUAUGGAGAUUAUAAUAAAGAGAUUCAUAAACCAGGCUAUCUGGCUAAUGACAGACUCCUACCACAGCGUGUUUUGGAACAACAUAAACUGACCAAAGAGCAGUGGGAGGAGAGAAUACAGAACUGGCAUGAAGAACACAGGGGGAUGCUAAGGGAAGAUUCAAUGAUGGAAUACUUGAAGAUUGCACAAGAUCUAGAGAUGUAUGGUGUCAACUACUUUGAAAUCAAGAAUAAGAAGGGUACUGAGCUGUGGCUGGGCGUUGAUGCUUUGGGUCUGAAUAUUUAUGAGCAUGAUGACAAGUUAACACCUAAAAUUGGUUUUCCCUGGAGUGAAAUCCGAAAUAUUUCGUUUAAUGACAAAAAAUUUGUUAUAAAGCCAAUUGACAAAAAGGCACCUGAUUUUGUUUUCUAUGCACCUCGUCUGAGAAUCAAUAAGCGAAUUUUGGCCUUAUGUAUGGGAAACCAUGAGCUGUACAUGCGAAGGAGAAAGCCUGAUACUAUUGAAGUACAGCAGAUGAAGGCUCAGGCCCGGGAGGAGAAACACCAGAAGCAGCUAGAACGGGCACAAUUAGAGAAUGAAAAGAAGAAACGAGAAAUAGCAGAAAAGGAAAAGGAAAGAAUAGAACGGGAAAAGGAAGAGCUGAUGGAACGUCUAAGGCAAAUUGAAGAGCAGACAAUGAAAGCCCAGAAAGAACUAGAAGAACAGACUCGGAAAGCCCUGGAACUGGAGCAGGAGCGCCAGCGAGCAAAAGAGGAGGCAGAGCGGCUAGACAGGGAGCGCCGGGCUGCGGAAGAGGCCAAGUCCGCAAUAGCCAAGCAAGCUGCUGACCAAAUGAAGAACCAGGAGCAGCUGGCAGCAGAACUUGCCGAAUUCACUGCCAAGAUUGCACUUUUAGAAGAAGCCAAGAAGAAAAAGGAAGAGGAAGCUACGGAGUGGCAGCAUAAAGCUUUUGCAGCUCAGGAAGACUUGGAAAAGACCAAAGAAGAGUUAAAAACUGUGAUGUGUGCGCCCCCUCCGCCGCCCCCUCCCGCAGUCGUCCCUCCCACAGAGAACGAGCAUGAUGAGCAGGACGAGCACAGUGCCGAGGCCAGCGCCGAGCUGUCCAGUGAGGGCGUGACGAACCACAGGAGCGAGGAGGAGCGGGUGACGGAGACCCAGAAGAACGAACGCGUGAAGAAGCAGCUCCAGGCAUUAAGUUCAGAAUUAGCCCAAGCGAGAGAUGAAACCAAGAAGACACAGAAUGAUGUUCUCCAUGCUGAGAACGUCAAGGCAGGCCGUGAUAAGUACAAGACUCUGCGGCAGAUUCGACAAGGCAACACCAAGCAGCGCAUCGAUGAGUUUGAAGCAAUCUAUGGCCAGUGCUCCACAAGUCCCGAGCCACCUGCACAGUGACUAUCCUGCCAGUCUGGUCAGUAUGUACCUCCCUCUCCUCCCCGUCAGGGGAUCGGGUCUUCAACGUAGUGCUAUGUAGUAGCGCCACCUGCCGGUCAGCUUGGGAAUUUCUUCCCUCUUGCUCUGGGCUUCCUUUAUUAGCUCUGUCUUCUCCAAGUCGCCCCCUUCUCUUCGCUCCCCGCCCCUUUGUUUAAACGUUAACACGCGCGUUAAAUCAUUCUUUAGUUCCUUUGCUUUUCUUCCCUUUUCAUCUCUUCGCCCUUCUAAGCCUCCCUCAGCGGCGGUUAUGAUGGAGACCAGAGAACUGCCAAUCCAAGAAAAAAAGUACAACCAACCAUAUAUUUGAAGGGGCAUUCGACACCACAGAGAGAAGGCCAGCUAUGGUCAACUAACCGCUAACUUCCUCCAAGUGCUUGAAAUCCCUUUAAGAUGUCCUCACGUUUCAAUUGCUAAUCAUUUUCUAAUUAAUUCUGCUCAGUUUAACAAGCUCAAGUACUAAAGAAAAUUAUUAAGCUAUUAGUAACUCAUUAUUUCUAACCUUUUAUUACCAGAUUUGACAAAUUUGGAGUUUCUUCUAUAUUUAGGGCUCAGUUUUCAUUAUGGGGUCAGUGACCUAGCUGCAAAGCCACCAUCCACAGUAGUUUAUAGGGAGAUAGCCCCCACCGGUGCCUUUUGGUACACAGCCCACCUAGGAGACAGAGACUUCUGUUUCUAACUGCUUAGCUCAUCAGUGCAGAAAAUGCAGCUGAGUACUAGUUGGGGAGCUGGCUGGUGAGUAGGUGUGGCCAGUGCAGUCCUUUCUUGGUUGGGUUAACCCUCACCUUGCCUUUGGUCUGUAUCUGAGGAUAAGGAAUUCACUUCGGCCAACACUGGUCUCCGUAGCCAGUGCCAGUGCAGCUGUGAGGAUAUCUUGUUGCUUCUCUUCAAACACCAGCCUACUAGGGAUGGGUGAUAGUACAUUGGGAAUUCUUGCUCAUUACAGACAGCAGCUCGAGGUUUCCAAGCAGGUACCACAAAAUCUGUUAGGUCCAUCAGGCUGGCUGUGCCCUCAAGGCCAUGAACAGCUGUAAAGUAAUACAGAAAAUCUGGGCUGGGGAUGUAGCUCGCUUGUUAAGAUUGCAGGAAGCCCUGGGUUCCAUUGCCAGCACCACACGGAACCAGAUGGUGGCACACACCCAGAGAUCCAGUACUGACGAGGUGGAUCUUGACGAACAGAAGUUUGAGGUCACCCUCAGCUACACAGUAAGGCAGGGACGCCCACUGUUGAAAGUUCCGGUGUGUGUGGCUUUAGAGCCGUGGUUGCUGUGGAACUUAUCAGUCUGUGGAUGGCUGCUGCAGUUCUCAGAGAACCCUCUCUAGCACCUGCCUCAGGGACCCUCCGCUAGUCUUACUUCCCCGGUCCACUAGCAGAGCUUCAAAGGUAGAUUUUAAGAGGUAGAGUGGACAUCAGGUCAGCAGCUGAGUUUCCCAUGUGGCCUUCUGAUAAUCCAAGCCAAAAAACAAAACAAAAAACAAAGAUUUCCCUAGCUUUGGUACUGCUGAGCAUGCUACCCCUACCCCCACCUUACUUACCCAUGUGCCCCUCUGCACUCCCAAUUUCCUAACCUCUUGAUGUCUCUUUCAAAAGGUGGGGACCCAAACUGUAUGCACUGUUCCAGAUGCGUUCUUGUCAAAGCAGCAUAAAGCAGAUGUAACAGGACGAUGCCUCCCUCCUCAUGAGGUCCCGGGUGACUGACCCACGGUGGGCUUUAGACUCAGGAUGUACAGAGUCAGCCCUGAGUCUUGAACACAUACACUCCCACACUCUGGUAUCUCCAUCAACCAGGGCACUUGCUGAUGCUUCUCCCCAGCGCCUGUUUGCUGUGCUGUGUGUUUCCUGCACUUCCUCACUGCCUUUCCCAGGAUCAGACCUCGGGAGAUGGACCAGGACGUGGGGUGUCUGUGGCCCUGUAGUCCUGAGCCAGCAUCUGCUGAGCUCGGCUUGAGAUGCCACUUUCUCAAAUGUGCUGGAAGGCCUAAGCUUCUGGAAAUACCACCGAGUCCCCUCCCCCAGCACCUUUUUCUGCAUGAUUGAUUAGCUCAUAAUAUGGAAUAGACGGGGAGAAUUUUCAAGACUUUACAACUUUUUAAAAAAAUGUAUGUGACUUAUGACUUAUCUUUGGCUUCUCUCUGAGAACAAACUUGGUAAACUUCCUUCCUUGUGAGUUCCUGUGGAAUCUGCAGAAAUCGAUGUGACAUACCCCCUCCUGUCUGGUCUGUUUGUAUAAUUGUAUAUAAAUACAGCAAUAAAUAUAUUCUACCGUCA